AGCAGGGGCCGAAUCUCUCCUGGCCUGGGUCUGCCCCCUCGCCUCUCCCCGCAUGCCGCGGGCUGCACGUGAGCGGCCCCGCUUCGGGCGGCGGCGAGGAUUGAUUUCUUGAUUACAGUCUAAUGCGUCGUAUAAUUAAGGAAAUCCUCACGCUUCUGAAAGUCAUUAGGAGACGGUUAAUUGGGAUGGGGCUGGGAGCUGCCUGCUGCGGGGGGGCGCAUGGUGGCUCCCGGGGCUUGGAGAUGUUGCGAGCUGCAGCUGCCGCUCCUGGUCCUGGCCAACCCCUCGGCCUUUCCUCCUCCAGUCUUGGCACGGAUCGUGUUUGCCAUAUUUCUGCUCAUCGCUGUGCUUUUUCUCCUGAUGCUUCCCAGCCCGACAUGCAGUGCCCCGAGCUGUGCACCGCGAUCCAGCCUCUGGAUGCAGGGUGCAGGAUGCUCCUUUCCCAGCUGUGCUGUGCCCUGCUCCUGGCUGUAACAUUUUACGAAGAUGGAUGGAUUUUCAGUCCCACAGAUGCCUAAGUGCGUCGUGCUUGCAGAGUUUGGUUUUGCUCACCCUGCGGUGCUGUGUAAAACUGCUGCAGUGUCAUAAGCAUGUGGGUGGCCACUGAAGAACAGGGGGAACUCUGACAAUAAUUUUUUUUGGUCGUGCCUUGGAACGGAAGGCAAACGGGAAUCUGACCACAUCUCCCGGCACUCGGCAGUGAUUUGAAAUCCACAGCACGCGGUGUGCUGAGGCAGUGUCCUGCACUGCAAGGAGAGGGACCAGCAAGCAGUAAUUCUGAUUUUUUUAACGCAUCAUGAACCAGCUUACUGGAGUCUAUCCGGUACUGCAUCUCAGUUAAACAUCUCAAAAUGCAGGGGAACAGGGAAAAAAAAAGAACAGAUUUAAAAUUACCAUCAGCAACGCAGUUUACACAGGGUUGGAAUGUGAUGGAGAAGUUCUAAAUCUCAGAGUGAGUGACAGAUUCAGGUGGCAAAUACUCUGGAAAGAAGCCCAGUGCCGGUGGUCCCGGUGGUGCCAGAGGGGCAGGGUGCAGCCCUGCAGGGCCUGCGGGAGGCUGAACUGGAAUCCCACAUGCUGCAAAAAGAUCUGAUCCCCGACACAGGCUGCGCUUUCAAGGUCAUUUCGUUCUGCUCCAGGGUGCAGGGAAUUGUAUUUCUGAGCUUUUCCAGAUUAAGGGACAUAUGAGCAGCAGGCCUGAAUUUCUCCUUGGCUUUUUGUGGUUUUUGCUUAGGAUUGGAAUGUCAGUCAAGAUGCUCGUGUUUAAGUCAGGAAACCUGGACUGUGCACAAACGCCAAGAGAGACCCCCUUUACAGGGCAGCUUGCUGCAGAGCAUUUCAUGCACAGUGCAAGGCCUGCUGGACUUAGGUACCUGCCUCAUCCCGCCCACGAUGGAUCCAGCACUGCACCACCGAGGUCUCAGGAGCAUCAGGCUUUACCUGGGCUAUGUAACGGGGAGCCCAGGUAAAGCACAAAGGUUCCUUGUACAAAGCUAAUGUUCCCCUCGCCCUGGCAGUGAGACAAGGAAGUACGAACCUUUGAGUGCCUUGGACACCUGAAAGUACAGCUCAGCUGUACCAAGUACUAGAGUUCUUACCCAAAAUAAUCUGUAGUCUAUCCAGUUAAAGAACUCCUUCAUCUCCUCAGCUCCACAUGCGUGGGAAGCACAGUGCUCAGCAUUGGUCAUCAUUGAGUAAGUCUAGAUCAAAUAGAGCGAAACAGACAGUUCUGAUGCUGGAGUCAUUAAAUCUUUGGCUAAGCUAAAAAGGCAGAGUGAAUAAUGUUUUUAAUAUGCUCAGGAAAUCCUCCAUAUCGGAUGAGAUCAGAAGAAGCCAUUAGCAAGGACGGAUGGGGAUUCUUCUCCAAACAAAGGCAGAUACUGGGUAAUUGCAGCUCUAUAAACACAGCAUCACUUAAAAUAUUCAAUAAUUCACCCUGCAUCUGGGAAAACAUCAGAACUUUGUAUUUAAUAUAAAGGUGGAUGGGUGAAAAAUAAUUAGGACCCUUACAGUUCCACACUUACUUUUCUAAUCUGUAUUGUGCUCAGGCCAUUAUAUAUUUAAAGGGUUUAUUCUGUGCUAAUGGGAAUGGUAUUGCCAAAUUCAUCUCAUGCUCAGAGAAGAGCCUUCACCAUCUUUGUUUUUCUGAAUUAAAGGACAAAGACAAGGAUUUUUCUGAAUACCCUCUCUUUUAUUUUUUUCAUAAAAGCCUAAAGAAACGCUUGCUUUUCAGAUUAUAUCUUCUUUCUGACAACAAAUUCCACUUUGUCUAGAGAGAAAAGAUGAGAAAACAGCAAAACCUGUAACUUAAUAUAACACUACAUGCUGAGAUAGCACAGGUUUUCAUUAGCUCCUAACAGCAGAGGAGCAUUUGAGUGGUUCUCAAGCAUCCGUUAACCCUGAAAACAUCACAAAAGCACAAGAGCAGUGUGAUAACAAUUUUAUGGGGAGCAAAUAUGCGGUCAACUUAUCCAGCAGCCCAUGGCUCUGCCUCCAAGCACCUUUCAGAUUAGCUGUUAGCCAACUUGCUGUACGUCUCCUUCGCUUAAUGUCGUGCUAUAAAUCACAGUGUACAAUUUAAGAAGGAAGUCUGUGCUGGGCUAGCAGUCGUCAUUGCUAGUAAUGGACUCAAGCUGCAAAAUUUGGAUUCAAAGCUCAGAGCUGUUUGGAUUUAGGGUUUUAGGUUGCCCAUUAUAGAAAUAAGAAACAGAUGGGAUUUGCAGGCCUGGUUCGGACUCCACGCUUCUCAUAAGGCCCAUUUCCUUGUUCCUGGAUCUGAAGGCCGCAUCUGAGGCAAGGAGACACCUCAACAAGUGGCUGGGCCUAGCAGGCCUGUGAGCUGCUCAUGGUGGCCCAGAGUAACGUAUCAUGAGGGAGACCACAGGAGAAAUGAGGGGAAUUUUGACUAAAAAGAUUUCCCAAGGGUUCUGGGGAGACCCUGUAUCACUGGAAGAAGAAACUCCAAAGCAAGGCUAUGGAAGGAAGCAGAGGAUGGACCUGUAUUCACAGCUGACCCUGUGGGUCAUGGGAAGGGGAGGAAAGCAGUGGGUGCAUGCAGCUCAUCACCAUCUGAUUUUGGGAGAGUAUGGAGGAGAUCUGGCUUUUCUUAAUGACUCGCUGUGAGACAAGCUCAGGCCAGGGGUUAACUCUUCCCCCACAGUCCCCUCCGUGAGCACCGAGGCUGUGAAAACAGCUGCCUUUGUGCUGCAGUCCUAAUAUAGAACAAAAGUGUAGUAUUUUGUCCUAGAUUGAACAGCUGGGGAAAUAAAACUACUUUGGGUGGUAGGAGGUGCUGCCACAUACACAAGAGGACAAUUCCAAGACAGUUUAGGAUGGAUAUCUGCUUAUUUUCCACUCAUAGAAAUACAUAUAAUUCAUAGCUGUGGUGCACUCUAAUGGGAACGUGGAGUAAAUUAUUGAUUUAUCACAUCUGAUAAGGAAGUCAGGAGAACAAUAAUCCUGUCUAGCACACAGAAAUAGAUUAGAAGCCUCCCACGGGCUGUAACCGAAGUGUAGGUGUGAGGCGUUCCUAAAAUCGCCAUGAGCUUUCAGUGCUGCACGUACCACAGGCCUAGAGUCAGGGUGCUUCGGGUGGAUGCCCGUGGCUUGUACGAUCACCACGGGAUCAUUCCCAAUAUGCAGCCCCUCACCUGCCUGCCAUGUGUGAGCAGGCAGACGGACAGAUGGACAGACUGAGCCCUGUGUGAGAAUGAGGACAGCUGAGCCAUGCCGAGUCCUCCGGCCCGUGACCUUUUUGUGCGUGCUGGCACCUGGCAGUGGCAGCAGCAAUCACUUGUGUGCGGCCUCGGAAACAGCUGCGGGUCUGACACGUCUGACACUGUGGUUAAAUUUAAAAAGGGUGAUGCAGGAGUAUGUGUGAGGGUGGUAAAUUAACAAAAUUAAUUGCUGGCAUGUCAUAGACCAACUUGAAAGAAAACAGGGUUUUAAGAUAAACAGUUGGGGCUUGUAGUGGGCAAGCCAUGUCUCUUCUACUGAGCACAGCAAGGUUUGUGCAGAAACGUUGCCGAAGCUGGGGUGCUGAGACCUGAUCCUGCACCUGUGGCUCGCUGUGGGCCAGAUCCUGGCUGUGGCCAUGAGCAGACGAACCUCAGGUGCCCUCAGGCAGGCACAGGCCUCGGUGCAUACUGCACAGUUCUGCCUCCCUGUUCUUCCCUGCAGUAUUUCUUAGCAGAAACCUGUGAAGGUGUCUCUGAGUAACCUGGCUGUUCUGGCAGACCAUGGGCUCUUGUUUUCUGUGGAGCUAAGCACAAGGCUAUUAGGUGUGCAGGAGAAAGGCUAAGGCAUCUGGUCCUGUCUUCAGAAAGAAGCAAUCUGUAACAAGUGGAGGAAAAAUUGAAAGAAAACUUGUCAAUUCAUAAAUGUUUUGUGGCAAGGCAUUCUAAGAUAGCAGAUGGCAGUGUAAAGGGGCAUUUGCUUUUUGCUGUGUCUAACACCUUCUUUCUCUGUUUUAAGAAUAAUGCUUUUCCAAUAACAGCUCAGAGCCAGUGCCACAGAAAUCCUGGCUGACAGAAGAACUGCUGGUCGGCUGACAGGAGCACGGCUUGUGGGAACUUCAGGCUAUUUUCUUUGUCAGUAGUGAAAUUAAAGCUCGGGGAUCUGUCUUCUAAAAUGUGGCCCUACUUUCCACAGGCACAAAGCAAUUAUGUCUUCACUUGCUCAAUGUAAUUAAUAGAUGUGGUUUCCUUCACAAGCAUCAAGGGAUGCCAUGUUCAUCAUGGAACGGACUGCUCUGUCCAGAGCAAGGACAAGAAAAUUCCUCAGGAACCUGGGACUCUCCUCUGGGAAGAGCAAUAAAUCUGUUGUGCACCUCAAGGGAUUGGAAUAUUCACCAUAUCCUAUUACCUCUCUGCUCAUCAGAAGGGAAAAGAUAUCCUCUGCGCAGAAACAAAAAAAGACAUCCUCAGGGGUAAUUCAGUACAGGAAGCUGGCAAAGCUGCAGCCCUCUAUCACCUUUACAUGUAAUUUGCAAUUAUGUGUAAAGCUAGACCUUAGGAAAAGAGCAAUUUCAGUCUUCCUGGCUAGCCUGAAAGUCACCAUGCUACCCUGUGUAGCACAGUUACUGACAGAGCAGCUGUGCGGGUAGAGAUGUAUUUUUACAGAGUUAUUAGAGCAGGGAAUUGUGCGGGGAUUACUGGGUUCUUCUCCCAGCUCUGCCUUUGAUUUGUGGUGUGCGCAGACCCCUUAAUUUGUUUCUGUUUUCCCCAUCUGUGAAACUGAGAUAACAUCACAAGGGAAUUGUAGAGUGUGAUUCAUUAAUGUUUAUUAGACAGAGGGAAAUCCUUAAAUGAAUGGCACUGUAUUCCAGGAGGACAAAGUUCAGGACUGCAAAGAGGCUGAUUAAACCCAAAUCUGCGAUUCCCAGGCUAGGAGGACAAAAAAGAAAAUUGAAAAACCUUACCUACCCCUGUGCGUGCCAAAAGCAGUAUGUGAUUUAAAUAGAAUCAAGUAGAAUGUGCAUGUCUGCAUGCAUUCAUACAUACACAUGUAUCUAUGAAAACCAUAUAAUAAUGUAAUAAAAAUUAUCAGUAAAAGACUACCAAAAAGUGUGUUUGAAGUUUCCAGUAGGAAAUAGUAAAGCAGUGUAUAUGAUAACUGAGCAAGCUACUAGCAGCAAUACAGCAUUAGUACAUCGUGAGGAAAUAAAUAUGAUACGCUUUCAUAAAGGGAUGCAACAGCAUACAGCACAUUGACGUGUUCCAUUAUGUACCUAAGUGAACAGAGCUGUAGAAUGAUUAUAGCAAUCUUACUGCCAGGCUGAU